GCCAUUACAAGACACGGAAGUGUGGGGGGUAGCCCCACAGCAAACUGGGGGAAAGGGCUAGGGCUGACCGCCCCAGUGAGCGGGAGGAGGGGAGCUGGCGGAGGCGGAGGACAGACUGAAUGAAUGUUAGCGGUCAGCCUGGCCCCGCCUCUGAAAACAGGGAGAAGAGAACAGUCCGGACCGGGGCUCGUCCUGCUGAGCUGGGAUAGAUGUGGCUUCUCCACUCAGCCUUCCUCCCCGUGUCACCUGCGUCUGCUUCUGACGCAGGCGCGCGGAGCGGCUACCCCCAGCAAAACGGUCUGCAUCACCCCAGCCCAGGCUGCUCCUCCAAGCCCAGGCAGGAAGCCUCUCCCCAGAGUUGGAGGGGACCAUGCCUAUGCAGUUGCUGCCGGGCCCAGUCAGGCCAGCAUGAGGCCGUCCGCUGACGGUCAUUAUCAACGAUGGGGCUUCCAGGAAGGCUCUGGCUGGGCCCCAUUGAGUGUCCCACCCAUGGGAGGGGCAGCUGAAUGCUGAGCAUGCUGGGGUGGACCCCUCAUCCACGUUAUUUCCUUUCUAGGGGCUGGCGGGAAGAUGGCUGCCACACGCGCUGCAGGACCGGCGACGCUAGCGCCCGGCCUCACCGUUGCCGCCUGACUGGAGCGAGCAGACGUGCUCUUAGAAACGCCUUUCCCCUCAGGGAAGGGAGGGACCCGCCCCCCACCUCCAACUCGCCCCUUCACAAACAGCUUCUCCCCUUCUCCGGCUGGGCGGGAAGCUCCGGGGCAGCAGGGCGUGCUGUGAAUGUGGGGAAGGGAUGCUGCAGCCCCUCAGCUCCUGCUUGGACUGUCGCCAGGGCCGUAGUGCGCUGCUCCACGCCAGGAGAGAGGUGCUCAGGAGGAAGUUCUUGGUGCAUGCUAGAUACCUUGCCCUCUCGCCCUCAAGAUCAUACCAGCUUGCUCGACCCAUCUAGGGCCAGCUGGUGUCACUCCCUCUCCCUCGCUUUUGGGUAAGUUGGCUUUACUGACCUGCUCGCAGAUGGUGGCAGCUUCCAGGGUGAUGGCAGAUGCUCUGCUGUCCAGAGCUGUGAUUCUGCCUGUUGUCACCAAGAGGGCUGGGGCACUGAGUUGACAACAGGCGGCUAGGCUGGCUUGUAUUAUACUAGCAGCAUGAGAAAACCUUUGCUAAGCAGAAAAGGAUAAAAUAGAGAGAAACAUUACACUCAACCACUGCCCAUGCUACCGUGGCUCCAAUGCUGCUUAUACUCCCGCCAGCUCUCAUGGAGCCAGUGCAAAUAUAUAUACCCAAACUGGGAGUCGCACCUAGCUCCUAGUAUAGCCAUUGCAUAGCCCUGCCACUAGAGAGCUCUCAAAAUGUGUCCACAAUUGGGCUAUGUCUACACUCGCGGCUUCUUGCACAAGUAGGGCCGUUCUUGCGCAAGAAUCCGCCAGUGUAGACGUAGCCUUGCUGAUUUUACCCUCCCCCCUGACUCCCACAAUCUGUGUUCUAAUCCCGUGUCCACUAGUUAGGCGCAUGACACAUGGACAGCUACGCUUGCAGUGCUGAGCUUACUAAUAUGCAACUUAACUUAGGGGACAUGCAGAAUUGUUACAUUCCAGACCCUUGGUAAGUCCAUUUCGUAGGGUAAAAGCAGCUGGCACUUAGAGACACGUACACCGGGUAAAAAUUUCAAAACCACCUGCAUGACAUAAAAGCCCAAGUCCCAUUUUCAAAUGUGACUUAGGCCUAGAACUUCAAAAAGGUACUUACGCACCCAACCCCCACUGAACUGGGACUGAAGCACCUAAAUACCUUUGAGGAUUUGGGCCCUAUGCUCCUAGAUCUCAUAGAAAGUCAAUGGGCUUUAGGCUCCUAAAUCACUUAUGUGCUUUGGAAAUUUUUACCCAAAAGCCCUGUUAGACUAUGACUGAGAUCAUGCUAUGCAGACCCGCUCCAGUUGGGGGACUAUAUUUGUGGUUUUCCAAAAGGCUUCUCAGGAAAGUGUCCCUGUCCAGUCUGUUCAAGGGAACGCAGCUGGAGCCCUGCCUGUCAUAACUAUGUUUGUACGUGGUCACUGUCAGCUUGGUUUCAAUCCUAGCACUGAAAAAGGCCUACCUUCACCGUGGCGCUUUCAUCGCUGGGCUAGCUGAAAGCACUGCGCUCUUUGCCUCAUCCACUGUUGCUUGUGAUUGAAACUCAUCCUCCUAAUGUAUUACUGCAGAAAGGCCGUUUUCACUCAGCUGCUCCAAAUGUGAUGCUUAAGAUGAUAACGACGACAGCAACAUCGUCAUCCAGCUCUUGCAGAGCAUGUUACACCAGUAGAUCUCAACAUGCAUCACAAAGGAGGAUGUGCUAGACCUGGCUGCUGUGAUGUUUGUACCGUUUCACUGCUUUUCAAAACCACUCCAUCACUGGGACAGAGGAGACGAAUUCUUUCACUAGGCCAGAUCCUCACCUGAAGUCAUUAGAGUGGCGCUGAUAUAAGGCAUCUGAAAACCUCAUCUGCAUUCCUGUGCCCUACACAAAUGUACACGUAGUUCAGAUUUGGCCCAACCGCUCCUCCGUCACGGCUCUGCAACCUGGUACACAGAGUCACAGAGCCGCUCUGGCCAGCCUCUUCAUUUUGGGCUUCCUCCAUGAACGUGGGCCCUAAGAACAUGCCUUGGUUGCCUGGCCUUGAGCACUGACUGCUGAGGACAAGCCAUUUGGAGGGAAAAUAUGGGCCGUGGCCCCAUUAGCACCAAGGGCUGAGGCUUGUAUUUUGCAGCCAGGCCAGGGAGCAGCAGGUAGAAAAGGAAGAGGUGUAAGCAGGAGACAUACAGUCCCCCAGCUGAGGGGCGUGUGCACUAGAGAAAAGCAAGACGUUCUUAGCUCGAGAUAGCGAGCCUGAGGUAAAAUCCCAGUGAAGAUGAAGAAGUUUGUAGCUUUCAUGAGUUAGCAGGUCAAGAUAAAGACUAUGAGUGAUCUUAGGACUUACCUGAUAACCAAACUGCUUGAUUUUCACUAGGAUUUUACCUCACGUUAGCUAGUUCGAGACCAGUGUGCAUCAGUGUUCCCUGUGGAGUGUUUGUGCAGCCACUCAGGAACAUCGCCCUGCUGAUUAGCAGAGCACUGACAGCUAGUUUUUUUUUCUACUGGUGGUGCACAUUCGCACAUGCCUCAGUGCACGUAAAAAUAUUCCACACAUAGAUGGAAAAUAUUAGAGGGAACAUCAGUGUGCACCUUUUCCUCAUAAACACCAGGCUCGGGUGUAGUUGGCCUAGCUGCACUGAAGUCAAGAAAGCUACAUGGCUUUAUACCACCUGACAGUCUGCUGCCCCAGAACCAGCAACCGAUCAGUGACACCAGAAGCAAGGUGUUGCCAUUUCUCUGCCAGCAAGCGGUGAUUUGCAAGAGCCACCAUGCUGCUGUCUCUAUGGCUAAAAAUACAGCACGAUGCUGGCUAGAUGCAACACAUUCUAAAUGGCUCAGCUUCCCCCUCUCUUCCCUUCUCUCUGCCACCCCCUCCAGGGUAUGGACAGCUGGGAUGACUGAAACCAGAUUUGUUCCACCGGGAGAUCAAAAGAGAGUAUGGAAGAUAUCAGAUUACAGAUUGAGUCAGCAGCAAGAUUACUUUCCCCAGAGCCAAAACCAUGUGUGCGAGCCAAGAACAUAGUGAAAAGGCACAUGGAGAAAGAAAAGCACCUUGUACCUUUUCUGUAAAUCAGUCCUUGGUCAGCUGUGCAAAGGGAGGGAGCGGAGAACCAAGUGAGCGUUUGGAUCCCAAACAGAGACGCUUCAUUAGAACUGUACUUUAAAAUACCUUAGAGAGGCCUAGUCCGAAGCUGUCAAGUUUUCAUGCAGCUGACCUAUAUUUUGAAUGCCUUGUAAAACACAACAUGGUGACUCUCUUCUGAUCAGGGAGAUCUGUCUGCUUGUCACCACCCGAACUUUUGGCUUCAGCAGACUUGCCUAGAGGAAAGAAAGAAAAGCAAAACGGCACCCCUCUUGGGCCUAUCUCAUAGACCUUGUGACCCCUCCCCCCCCCAAACAAAACCAUGUCCACUGCAAUACACAGGUUGUAAAUAUGUGGGAACAUGCCAGGGGAACCUUCACACGACUGUCCUGGAAAGUCCUGCUGCAGCUGCUCCCAGGAAACACAAGCUGUAUAAGACACAAUCAUUUUGCCAGAUGUUUACAGAUUGGCUUGUUACUCACAACUCUUGCAAACCGAGAGAGACUGCUCAAGGGUAUGUUGUUGUGAAAGACCCUUGUGGCACUACCCUUGUGAAAGAGCAUUCUAAACAAGGAAUAAAUACAGCCGACCUUCUGCUAGUGAA